rnacentral:lncRNA from 1 species
GAGGAGAAAAUAUAGUCUAGAGUAGAAAACUCCUGCAAUUUCAAAGGGGGAUGUCAAUUUACAAUUUAACAUCUUAACUUAAUUUAAAUAAUAUUAUUGAUAUUUUUAUUACAAAAGGAAGAUAAAUUUUGAACCCUAUGGAAAACACUUUGAUUUUGUUUUAAUACAGCUUUCCGUGUGAUGAAUCAUUAAUACAGCACAAUUAAACUUGGUUUCAGAGAGGAUUAGUGCUAAUAGCAUUAAAUCUUGAUAGGUCAUUUCUGACCUACCCCCGGUUCUAGGUACACGAUUAGCAUAAAAAAGCUUAUGAACAACACUAUUCAGAGGUGUUGUUUCAAGAAGAGUUGGCAAUAAAACAAAUUCAGUAGUAGGACAGUCUUUGACAACCCUUAAUUGUUGCAGAAUAGAUAAGUUUUCAAAUUCUAGUGGCCCCUAAAACGUGAAAGGCCAGAACAGGGAAUAUCUAAUAAAACACCCAAUAAAGCAGAAUCGAUUAAAAUCGUUUCGUUUUGGACAAAAGAGUGAAUCCUAUCAGAUGUAACAGACAUGUUGGCAUAAAAAUGUUUAAUCAACAUAGGAUAAGCAGAUUUGGGUGGAAAUAAUAUAGUAGACAAACCGAUUUUUUAAAACAAAGCAUCGACUCCAAAUGAAGGUGAGACGACGCUUCUCCCUUGGUGCCAUGGAUGAUUCCCUCUCUCAACGAAUUGUCUCUCGGCCUGUAAUGAAGGUGUGUCCUCCUCGUGUCUUAGCCAUAGAUUCGGUGAUGAAAAACAAACAAAACCCAAGUUUUGUUUUUGUGAAAGAUCGAAUAGAUACGAAACAGAGAAUGAAAUUGAAUUGGUUUUUUUAACCCUUGUUUGCGUGUAACUGUUGGAUAACAAAGAGAGUUGAGAUAGAAAAGGACACAGUGAGAGAUGUGCAGGCUGGGGAGGGAGGAUUUAACUAGUCUUAGG